GAAAUGCGAUAAGUAAUGCGAAUUGCAGAAUUCAGUGAGUCAUCGAAUCUUUGAACGCACAUUGCGCCCUGUGGUAUUCCGCAGGGCAUGCCUGUUCGAGCGUCAUUUCAACCCUCAAGCUCUGCUUGGUGUUGGGCCCUGCCCGCGCGGCCGGCCCCAAAGACAGUGGCGGCGCCGUCUGGCUCUAAGCGUAGUACAACCCUCGCUCUGGAGCCCGGCGGUGCCCUGCCAGAACCCCAAACUUCUAUGGUUGACCUCGGAUCAGGUAGGGAUACCCGCUGAACUUAA
rnacentral:misc_RNA from 1 species